GCACCUUCCCAUCAUGAUCCCAAGUCAAUCAUUCCUUGGAAAAGCUGAACAAAAUGAGUAAAAACUCCCUACUGUCUCUCUCCUCGUAACUGAGGUCC
ensembl:snoRNA SNORD116 Small nucleolar RNA SNORD116